rnacentral:rRNA from 1 species
ACUUACCUAUAACAGGGGGAUAGCCCGAAGAAAUUCGGAUUAAUACCCCAUAACAUAUUAAUAAGCAUUUAUUGAUAUUAAAAACUCCGGUGGUUAUAGAUGGGUAUGCGUGACAUUAGUUAGUUGGUGAGGUAACGGCUCACCAAGACGACGAUGUCUAGGGGUUCUAAAAGGAAGGUCCCCCACACUGGUACUGAGACACGGACCAGACUCCUACGGGAGGCAGCAGUGAGGAAUAUUGGGCAAUGGAGGCAACUCUGACCCAGCCAUGCCGCGUGCAGGAAGACGGCCCUAUGGGUUGUAAACUGCUUUUCUGUAAGAAUAAAUGUUCGUUCGUGAACGAAUUUGAAGGUAUUACAGGAAUAAGCACCGGCUAACUCCGUGCCAGCAGCCGCGGUAAUACGGAGGGUGCAAGCGUUAUCCGGAUUUAUUAGGUUUAAAGGGUCCGUAGGCGGUAUAAUCAGUCAGUGGUGAAAUCCUGCAGCUUAACUGUAGAACUGCCAUUGAUACUGUUAUACUUGAGUUCAGUCGAGGUAGGCGGAAUGUGUAAUGUAGCGGUGAAAUGCUUAGAUAUUACACAGAACACCAAUUGCGAAGGCAGCUUACUAGACUGUAACCGACGCUGAAGGACGAA